AUUGAACGCUGGCGGCAGGCCUAACACAUGCAAGUCGAGCGGAUGAAGGGAGCUUGCUUCUGGAUUCAGCGGCGGACGGGGGAGUAAUGCCUAGGAAUCUGCUUGGCAGUGGGGGAUAACGUCUGGAAACGGGCGCUAAUACUGCCUACUACGUGAGGCAGCAAGAGGGGGAUCUUCGGACCUCACGCUAUCAGAUGAGCCUAGGCCGGAUUAGCUAGUUGGUGGGGUAAAGGCCUACUAAGCCGACGAUCCGUAACUGGACUGAGAGGAUGAUCAGUCACACUGGAGCUGGGACACGGACCAGGCUCCUGCGGGACGCAGCAGUCGGGAAUAGUAGGCAGUAGUCGGAAGCAUUGUCCAACCGGGGCGCGUGUGAGGAAGAAGUCUUCCGAUUGUAAAGCACGUUUAGGUGGUAUGAAGGGCAGUAAGUUAAUACCUAGCUGGUUUGACGUUACCAACAAAAUAAGCACCGGCUAACUUCGUG
rnacentral:rRNA from 1 species